UACGUAGGGGGCAAGCGUUGUCCGGAUUUAUUGGGCGUAAAGAGCGUGUAGGCGGCUUGGUAGGUCUGCUGUGAAAACUCGAGGCUCAACCUCGAGACGUCGAUGGAAACCGUAUGGCUAGAGUCCGGAAGAGGAGAGUGGAAUUCCUGGUGUAGCGGUGAAAUGCGCAGAUAUCAGGAAGAACACCCGUGGCGAAGGCGGCUCUCUGGGACGGUACUGACGCUGAGACGCGAAAGCGUGGGGAGCGAACAGG
rnacentral:rRNA from 1 species